rnacentral:lncRNA from 1 species
AUUCAAAACUAACACAUCCUUAUCAACGUAAUCCGCAGCUAGAUGAAAGAACUGGUAAUAAUCGAAGACAUGUUCACAAUAAAAAAGAAAACAAUAGAUUUAGAAGUCAAAAUGGUUAUAAGGAGCAAUGCACUUGGAGUCUGGACUCCGGGUCAUACAAGCGGCACGCCUGAGGCUACUUCAUUUCUCUGCUAAUCUAAACUACUUUUGCAUUGCAGUCCUUAUCUUCCUAUGGAAUUCCAAGGAAAUAUAUAAUUCGAAUAUGCAUCAAAUUUAACACAACUAAACAGUGUGGCCCAAAACCACUUUUUCCUUCCUCCAGUAACUUUAAUUCAGGCAUGGAAACACAAUUUCGCCAUUCAAACUAUGGACGACUCAAUGUUUAGUUUGAUGAACUAUCUCUAGCUUUAGAAGUCCUAUUCCAACCAGUAAUCCAGAAAAUAAACAUGAACUUUUAACGGACCUGCCCGCCAUCUACUUUCUUCCACUUGGUUCUAACUUCUAGUGGUGUUUGUAAGGCAAAAUUUCUUGCUCUCUUCCUUGUUCACUUUCCUGCAGCACCUUGGCCAGCCUAUAUGUAGAUUGUGAUGGCACCAGAAACACUUCAAAGUCAACUAGUGAAGCCAAUCACAAGUAUUGUGGCUUGAG